rnacentral:rRNA from 1 species
AGAGUUUGAUCAUGGCUCAGGACGAACGCUGGCGGCGUGCUUAACACAUGCAAGUCGAACGGAAAGCGCUCUUCGGAGUGACUCGAGUGGCGAACGGGUGAGUAACACGUGGGUGAUCUGCCCUGCACUCUGGGAUAAGCCUGGGAAACUGGGUCUAAUACCGGAUAGGACCAUGGCCUGCAUGGGUUGUGGUGGAAAGCUUUUUGCGGUGUGGGAUGGGCCCGCGGCCUAUCAGCUUGUUGGUGGGGUGAUGGCCUACCAAGGCUGCGACGGGUAGCCGGCCUGAGAGGGUGUCCGGCCACACUGGGACUGAGAUACGGCCCAGACUCCUACGGGAGGCAGCAGUGGGGAAUAUUGCACAAUGGGCGCAAGCCUGAUGCAGCGACGCCGCGUGGGGGAUGACGGCCUUCGGGUUGUAAACCUCUUUCACCAUCGACGAAGCCUCUUCGGGGGUGACGGUAGGUGGAGAAGAAGCACCGGCCAACUACGUGCCAGCAGCCGCGGUAAUACGUAGGGUGCGAGCGUUGUCCGGAAUUACUGGGCGUAAAGAGCUCGUAGGUGGUUUGUCGCGUUGUUCGUGAAAUGCCACAGCUUAACUGUGGGCGUGCGGGCGAUACGGGCAGACUGGAGUACUGCAGGGGAGACUGGAAUUCCUGGUGUAGCGGUGGAAUGCGCAGAUAUCAGGAGGAACACCGGUGGCGAAGGCGGGUCUCUGGGCAGUAACUGACGCUGAGGAGCGAAAGCGUGGGGAGCGAACAGGAUUAGAUACCCCGGUAGUCC